CUUUUUCAAAAUGGAAGCUGCCCCAGUAGCCGCUGCAGAAAAUGUGUUGAAUUUAUUCAUCCAUGAAGGCAGAGGGCUGGAAGUGCAGGAAAACUAAGGGUUGGAGAAACUCUUUUCUCCCAAGCCAACAAAACCAAGUCAGUCUUCCUGGGGGAAGACCACGGGAGUCCACAAGAGGCUGCCUCCUGGGAGAUUAUGGAAACAGGGGCUGUGGGCAGGCAGACUACAGAGGCAUUUCAGCAAUGGUUUGACCUGGAUAGAGGACUUCAUCAACAAGGUUCUUUCAUCUUCCUUAGUUGUUUGGAUCCUUAAGCCUGCCUUGAAAGAAGAGGGAGAAGGCUUCAGGGGAAAUGCUCCCCGCGCUGACCCACAGGAUGGCUUCCUUCAACAAAUGCAGCCACCUUUGAUUGGCUGCCUGCUACAAGAGAAACAUCAGGAGGUACGUAUUGCCAUGGGGGGAACUGAAGAUGGAGGACCCCUCAUUUGUGGAAUUGGGAACGGGCUUUGGGUCACAUGAGGCUCAUCCCUGAUGAGCUAGAACGUGGAAGUUACCUGAAUCCAGAAACCGAUAUUAGGCUCUGUAAUGGACAUGCAGAGGAAGAAGGACCUGUUGCCACGUCUACAGAGGGGUCAGGAAAGACACACUUGGAAUGACCCUAAGAAACCAUGGGCAAGUCUCCAUUUUUUUCCCUCAGCCAAAUCUGUAUGCACUGGUACAGCCAUACCAAUUAUUAAAAUAUUGAAAAACUUCUGUGUCCCUUGGGAAACAGCCACUACCAUGAGCCCCACUACUGCCCUUCUCUCCUGGCAUGUUCAGACCUCCCUGAGUCCAGCAAUGAAAGGGUUAACACUUGCCCCAGCAGAGGGCCUCUGGGAGCCAGCUCCUGCCUUCAGAGCUGUCUGUUAAGACUGGUCUAGGACUAGAUUCAUUCUUACUGUUUUUAAAUAGCUUGAAUGUCACCUCCAGAUGAAGCUCCCCAAACGGAAUGAGACAUCUAAAUAGAGCCACAUGGGGUCCAUCUGGGGUGGCUCCCCAGAGGACAAAUUUUGCAAAGGAAAUCUGAUGGGGUAAGAGAUGCAAUUUAGUGGCUAGGAGAGUGAGGG
rnacentral:lncRNA from 10 species